AGUGAAGCAAAGAGUGAGAGAAGCAGAACGAAGAAAGUGGGAGGACAGAGAAAUCAGAUGAGCAGGGAUGUAGGGACAAGAAGACAUGGAAUGGGUAGACAAAAGAUGUAGAGAAAGGAGGAGAGAGAAAGAGAGAGAGAGAGAGAGAGGAGGAAAAGAAGAAGGGAGGUUGGAGUGAUGGCAGUUGAAAGCUUUGGGAGGAGCGGAGCACUGAGCAGCAUCAGCCAGCGCUGUGAGAGCAUGUUGAGCCUGCAGGGACAGCCGGGGGGUCAGCUGUCAGCCGUAAGGACUGAAGUCAGCUGAGCGAGCGGAGAAACGGCGGGGCGUUGGAAGAAGCUUAAAAGAUGGACGCCUUCAACAGAGAUGUGAAGAGUGUGUAACUUUCUAACGACACAGAGAGGAGGAGAUGGAGACAAUCUGAAGGCCACAUGAAGUUUGAAGAUCUGUAAUGACUGACUCUGCAGAACCUGGCGACCUCUUCACACUAUGUGCUUCAGGAUCCGCUGACCCCACCCCAUCAGUUUACAUGACCUACCACAUCAUGGCUGAGUUGCUGUCGUUCCCAAACACUUCCAUUUUCUGAUAAUACAGCUGACAGUUGACUGGAAUAUUUAGGAGCUAGGAAAUUUCACAACUAAUUUGUUGCACAGGAGCCAUCCUACCACAGUUCUGUGGGCUGUGGGAAGGUGCGAAGUAUCCUGGGGGCAUGUUUAUUAUUAAUGAUUUGAAAUAAAUAAAAUUAUUAUUUUUGCCAUAAGAGUAAAAUAAACACAUGAAUUACCACCACUCCUAUGAAUAACUAAUAAAACCAAACUCUAUGUUUGUCAGUACCAUUCAUUAAACCAG